rnacentral:rRNA from 1 species
CCUACGGGGGACAGCAGUGGGGAAUAUUGGACAAUGGGGGGAACUCUGAUCCAGCGACGCCGCGUGAGUGAAGAAGUACUUCGGUAUGUAAAGCUCUAUCAGCAGGGAAGAAAAUGACGGUACCUGACUAAGAAGCCCCGGCUAACUACGUGCCAGCAGCCGCGGUAAUACGUAGGGGGCAAGCGUUAUCCGGAUUUACUGGGUGUAAAGGGAGCGUAGACGGUGCAGCAAGUCUGAUGUGAAAGGUAGGGGCCCAACCCCGGGACUGCAUUGGAAACUGUUGAACUGGAGUACAGGAGAGGUAGGCGGAAUUCCUAGUGUAGCGGUGAAAUGCGUAGAUAUUAGGAGGAACACCAGUGGCGAAGGCGGCUUGCUGGACUGUAACUGACGUUGAGGCUCGAAAGCGUGGGGAGCAAACAGGAUUAGAUACCCGAGUAGUC